CUCCUAGGUUUUUCCCACUGUUGUGGUUUUCCCCUUUUUCCCACAAGCUGUUUCACUGGACAGCAUGUCCUAUGCCCUCCUUGCACAGCUGCACACCAUUACCGCGCUGCUUUGUUUGUCCAGGUAAAGUGUGUGAAAUGAGAGGAACUUGCAGCUCACUGUUACUUUAAAAUUACUUAUAUGAUUAUUACUUAUACUUGGAACAGUUGCUGGGGGAGGUAUAUUUGAUGAGAGAGAAACAAGGGAAAUCCUCCAGUUAUCGAUCAUGCUGAUCUGUCACAAACAGCAGGAGCUUCCCAGCGUCAUCUGCACAGGUUGUGUCUUGUCUCUCUCCAACCUCUGACCUUUGAACUAGGCUUCUCAUGAAUACCUAACAUGAUGCUAAGCCUUCAUAUCUGUCCACGGGUUGCCUUCGCAGCAUCCCCAACUCCCUUAGGGACAGGGGUGCUGCAGGGAGGGACACAUCACAUGGAUUAGGACACCCUGACCUGAAAACGAUGAUGACCUUCAAGCAGUAUUAAGCAAUAUUCAGUUCAAACUCAUAAUCUGGAAGGGAAAAGUAGUAAAGGCUUCCAAAUGAGAGGUAGUCUGUAAACAGUUAAAGGGAAAGAAAGAAUGCAUAGGCCAUUGCCAGUCCCUCCUGCUAUCCAGACCUCUUCCACACCUGUAUUUGUUGAAGUUUACAGACAUUCUGAGUGUUUUCAGGGGUUUCAGUAGGACACAAUAUUGAAGUGCAACAUUUAUGGUUUUUUUUUCAUCCAUAGAUUGCUAUGAGCUGUUAAUCCCACAUCUACUCUGUGCUAAUGUUUGCAAUGAUUUAAUUGAAUAAUCGAGUCCAAAUCCCUGUAACAUGUGCAUCACAUGUUCGUUGUCAUUCUGAUAGACCCUAGAAGUGAUUUUUGGAUGCUUACUCACUGGAGAAACUUUAAAAUAUGUUAUAUUUUCACUGUAGAAUUUGUACUUCUUUUGCAAGCAGCUUUCCUGCAGGUAACUACUUAUAUAUGGCGUACCACUACCUGACAUUAGGCAAAGCACAGGCAGAUACUUUUUCACAUAAAGUUGUCUUUUCCUGAUUGUAGGUGGUAUAUAUGACAAGAGUUAUGCUGAGAGAGGAUCAGAAGCAUAGGGGAUAAAGUAAUAGGCAGCAGCUGGAAAAUUGAUGGGUAAAGUUGGAUGAUAACAACAGGAGAAGAUAAUUGGGCACUCCCUUGGAAGGACUAAGAGAUUAAUUAGCAUUCUCUUCAAGACUGGUAAUUGAAUCCAGUUUCUGAAUCCUGCCUUUCCUUUGAAUGCCAACACAUAACCGUAUACUCUAGUGAAAGAUGAUGUUUGUUGCUAGCCCUUGAAAAAAGAUUUUGAAUACUGUCAGUAUAAAAAGUUAAAUAAAGCUUAUCAAGCACAAGAUUUAAUUGUUAUAGAUGACAAUGCUGGUUUCAAUCUUAUUAUCUCUAUAGCUUGGGAUAAUUCCUCUUUCCAACCUAAAGGAACUAUAAGGAUGCAUUGAUGGUUGUAAAUCUCUACUGUGCUGUGUGAAGACGUGCAGAAUGCUGAGUAGAAUGAUGAGAAAAAUGACAAUUAUUUGUUUUACUCAGAAGCAUCAGAUAAUAUUUAACAUCAAGAUUUCUAAUCUAAUUUUGUGUUCCCCAGAUCCACCCAUCCUGUUGAUCCUGAGGAAUUAUUUCACUAAACAGACAAGAACAGCGAUAGAACAUCUACUUCAAAAGUAUUUGAUAAGCCAAAUAAUCAAGUCCAAUGGCACAUGCCAUUAGAGCAAGUUAUAGAGUUUUCUUAGUUCCAUUAUAUUAAGCUAAGAGGCAGUAUGUGAGCCGAGCAACAAAUGAAAGCAAAAAUUUUAAAAAAUAUAUGAGUUGCUGCUCAAAGGGAAAAAAAAAAGUUGGUAAAGAGAUGCUCAAAGGGAUAGGUUUUGAUAUGUUGUUUAGACUUCAGUAAUGCAUUUCUUUUUAACCACAAAUUUCAUUGGGAUUAUUAUCUCGUGGUUUUAUUGGGUGUGUAUGUGUUUGACAGCUACCAGCGCGUAGGAUGUUUUUUUUCUGACUGGAGUGUAGAAUCAGAAGAUGAAUAUUAUGUUUGCCUCCUUCCUCAGCUAUGGUUGUGGAGGCUAUGCUUUCUCUAGACAAAGCUCAUCUGCUUGAAAGUCAUGAUUAGAUGGGGAAACGAUGUACUUUCUGUCAUCAUUUUGUGAGCUGUGCUUGGAGACUAAAUCCUACUCAGAAAUGAAACCCCCUUCCUUAACUUUUGCAUUUUAUGCUUUUUUUCUUCUUUUUCCUGGGGAAAUCAGCUUCCCUGCCUGUUUGUGCUCAGCUGCAUUUCCUGCCUGGGGGAUGCCUGUGCUCCGGAAGGAGAUGCUGUGAAAGCAAAGAGGGGAACAUUGAGGACAUCUCUCAAGAAGCAGUGCCUGUGAUCCCUACCAGAGUGACCACAUGUUUUGUUUCAGCCCUGAGAAGCAGCCAAUCGGUUGUAUGGCCAUGUCAUCCUUGAAGACGCUACUGGUGGAAUUAAUCACUUCUCCAUAUACCAGAGCACUGACAUCCUGAGGUUGUUACAUCAAAGGAUAUUGACUGAGAAGACAAAUAAUCAAAUGACCCGUAACGCAGGUAAAUGAUACUCUUGGGAUCAAAGGAAUCCCCUACGAAUACUGUGUGCCGUUCUGUUCUGCCAGUCAUAGAAAGUGUCAUUUGGCUGCAAUGGUUAUAGUGAGGUAGCUUUUGUCAGUCCUUCAAAGUGAGGGUUUUCUAAACAAGAUCUUCCUGUUUGUUUUCCUUGUUUGCUAAUUCUUCAUAAAAUACAGUGAUGAAUGUUAAGUCUUAGUUGCGUAUCAAUUCACAUGACAUGCAUACUUGAAGGCUAGGCUUCUGAAACACCUCCAAAUGGUAGAGAAGACAGUUUGUUUUGGAAAUGGAUCGAGGUGGCUAGCUGAGAACUGGCUGGUGCAAGAAAAUAGGCUGCAAGAGGUAUUACCUUUAAAUCUUAUCCUGAACCAAAGCCAUUGGUUUUAGUCUUCUUUGAAGGUUGGUUCAGCUUAACAAGUAGAAAUCACUCCUCUUCUUGAAUACAAGUGCCCACACAGAAAGCUAGUGUAGGAGAGCGAUGGUUCUGUGCUUAGAUUCUAAGAGCAUACUUGUAUGGAAAUACUCAAAUGUGCAUUCAUUAAAUUUAUUUUUUACUAGGAAACAUGGAUGUGUCUGUCAGCUCCUGUAUCCACUCUUCCUUUACUCAUUCUGCACUUUGUUUGAAAAUAAAGAUUCUAUUUUGCUGUCCAUGUUAAUACUUCAACUUUUUGUAAGCUUUGAACUAGGCUGCAUACUUCAUAGUUCUGCAUAUAAACCAAGAAAUUAAAAACCUACAUGAGCCUUUGAAAUAAUAUCUAUACUGUGAAGCAAUCAUACUAUAGCUUCUCUGAUUAUGAUGAUGAAGAGCUGCACUCUGACAGCAAAAUAAAUUGAAAUAUAUACAUGCAUGUAUAUAAUAUUUAGAAGAACAGUAAAUUAAAAGUAUUCAGUUUGUCUAGAAGCUGAUGGCUGGAUCACCAGGUAGUAUAAAUCUACAUAUUGCUAUUGAGAGUCAGAGUUAUUACUGAAUGAUUCACUACUAAAUAUCAAAACCUGAAUAUGUGGCACAAUAACAGAAUUUUUUCCAUUCAAAAGGAAGCAGAACUCUAUAGUUGUAAGAAUUUUUGGAAGAUUUAUCAAAUAUUGUCUGUUAAAGUGAAACUUAUGUUCAUCUAUUAAGAAUAAAUAAUAAUCUCAUGUGAAUUUCAACAUCUACUGUAUACAGAUUCUAUCCUGCUGCAGUGAUAGUCUAGUAUGAUUAGUUCUUUUUGCAAUUUUAUGUAAAAUAAUUGCUUAACCACAUUUGUUUUCCUUCUUUUUAUUUUUUAUUAUCUCAUUAUAUUUCAUGGCAUAGAUUUAAAACAUUAUUGAGGUACUUUCCAUCACUUUUUUAAAAUUAACUUUCUCAGCUAAUGGUUCGCUUACUCUCUGCAUCUUACUGUUAAUAACCUACUGAAGCUUUAUAAGGAAAAGAAGAGUCAGCAAGAACUACAGAUACCAAUAAAUGCAGAAAUAGUUUGCUUUUUUGGAUAAAACUAAGGAAUAAUAGCCACUAGAUAUCAAAAUAAGAAAAAAAAUACCAUGAGCCAUGAGCAGAAAUUAGCUAAGUUUUUGUCUAAUCAACUGUAAAACUUUGACAGAACCAGAUUUACAUUAUAUGAAAGAUCUAUCUACUGCCAGGAUCUUUACUUGGGUUCUCUAACCCUGGAAAGCUUUACUAUAUGUAAUAUAAGCAACGGUAUUGUGAGUGGCGGGGAAUGAAAGAAUACUCAGGAAAAACAGAAAUUACCUGCAGGAGAUAUACAGCAGUUCAGGGUGAAAGAUGACCUCCUCUUACUGAACAUCAUAAAAGUAAGUAGAAUAAUGACUUGGAAUUGUGGAUAAUAAUAGAACAGAGAACAGAAUUUCAAUCUGGUAUGACUGCAGGUCAUUACUAAAAGGUCUUCUGCUUUACUGUGCAUACAUGGUUGCUUAUUUUCUCUUCAUAAAACUGUUCCUCACUUAGCAUGCAUGAUACAGGCCAAUGAAAACAUGGGUUUCUCACUUGCUGAGAAUAUGCAUAAAGAUUUUUUCAUUCCAUAGUUAGUUACUAUGCAUGACAUUUUAAAUACACUUUCUGUGCUGGGAGGUCGGUUGAUGCAUCUUACAUUAGUAAACAGAUUGAAAAACUCACUGUAGUUUAGAAUGUAUGCAGAAACAUGGACUGUAAUUCACAGCAAGAACUGGAAGUUUUUGUUUGAUUUGGAUCUUCUAAGGCACAAUUCUGAAUUAUUCAGUGUUCUUGUAUCUUUCUGUCAGUGCUGGAUAUUUUUUUUUCCUGGAUAUAUCUCACUACCAACAUGAGUUAUUUUGCAUGAGAACACUGGAUGAUGAACAGCAUCUGUGCUUCGUAGAUUAAAUGGCUUCAAACAAGAGUUUUAAAUGAACGGUUGAAUUAAUGAAAGACUAAAGAAUCUCCAUUUGCUGUUACUUUUAAUUAAGAAGUGACAGAAUCUGUGCCCUCAUCAGGAUCUUUUGUUCCAGAACAGCCUGUAAAGAUCUCAUGAAAUCACAAAUGUCUAAUAGAGUGUUUUUCUUAGAAAACCUGUUUAUAUAAAGUGAGACCUCAGGUGGUGUUUUCUUCAAUCCCUUCAGUAGCAGAGAAAAAUAUUGUGAGAAACAGGAAAAGCCACCUGAGCAACACAUGGCUAAGAGGCUGGUGCAGUCAGAGGAAUUUUUUUAUUAUUAUUAUUAUUUUUUAUCAUGCAAAGCUUUAUUCAGCAUCAGGCCUGCUGGCAACAGAUGGAGUCCACCUGUUUCAAAGGGGGGGAGGGAAUGGAUUCUAGCCCAGUAGUUAGUGGGGCUUGUUGAAAGGGCUUUAAACUAGGUUUGAAAGGGAAACGGGAUAUAACCAAACUUGUUAGAGAUGAGCCUAGGGGCAGUAUGUCAGUGUUAGGGGUGAGAUCAAUGGCCCAGCUGAAGUCCAUCUACACCAAUGCACACAGCAUGGGCUGCAAACAGGAGGAGCUAGAAGCCAUUGUGCAACAGGAAAACUAUGACUUAGUUGCCACCACUGAAACAUGGUGGAAUUACUCUCAUGACUGGAGUGCUGCAGUAGGUGGCUACAGGCUCUUUAGGAGGUAUAGACAAGGAAGGAGAGCUGGUGGGAUGUCUCUCUGUGUUAGGGAGUGUUUUGAUGUUGCAGAGCUCAGUGUUGGGAAUGAUAAGGUUGAGUCCUUAUGGGUAAGGAUCAGAGGGAAGUCCAAUGAGGCUUACGUUCUCACUGGGAAUUUGUUAUAGACCACCAAACCAGGAUGAGAAGACAG